rnacentral:lncRNA from 1 species
UGAUAGUUUCAAGUAUUUUUGUCCUUCACAAUAAAAAGGAGCGCAGAAUACUAUUUUACAAAAAGUAGCUAUAAAACUAAACUAUAAAAACUAAUGGAUAAACUUACACCACUAUUAUUCUGAAUCCUUUAGUUGGUGUUCGCCGUCGUUAAAGUGUUAAACAGAAUAAAGUAACAGAAAUAGAAAGAUUAAACAAGAAAAUAGAGAGUUGUUAUUGGAAAAAACAGUUUCUCGGCGAUGCAUCGUCGUUACCGUCGUCCAGUUUACAUGGACCAUUGAUUGCCUAUCACUCCUGAAGAGGAGUCGCGCGUCCUCCACCUCCAGGUAUCCAGUUUACUCGUAAAAAAUUGACUUAUGCUGAUUGGCCGGCGAAUCGGUUGAUUAUCGCCGUCGGUAUUUCUCGCGUUAUUGUACCUUACCCCUGGCUAGUUGCGAACAACCGACGCCAUAGGACGCCAGCAACGGCAACAACAGCGCAGCUGUUGCGUUGCUUGCCUUCGUCGAAGCUACUGUCGGGUAAUUAGCGACGUAUUAAUAUACCCGAUAUAAACGAGCGACGUGCACGCUUGUAUUUCAAGAAGACCACCCAACAUGGUUACGUUCACAUGCGUUAAUUAACGAUUUUCUACCAGGACGAAUCAACGUAAGCAUCCCCCCGUGGUUUUAUUAUUCGACUACAGGCAUCUGCUGUUCCAUCAAUUGCGAAAAAGAAUUGUAUUGAUCGAUGUUGCCGAUUAAUGUUGUGCCACCUUUGCCAAUAGAUGAACACCUCAUAAUUAAUUCGGCCGUUAUUCAUUAGCUCAUCGAACGGGCUGCUUUUCACACGACCUUAUUUUAAUCGACACACGGUCGUUUACAAUCCUCUUGCGCAUAGCCAAUCGUAAGAACUUAAGGGCAGAAUUAUUAGAAUCCUCGGCGUGAGAAUUGUGCGUCGUUCAGUUUAUUAUUAUUUCUUGUAUUGCAACGAGGCUUGUAAAUUUUAUUUUAUUUCUUGUUUUCUUUAAAAAUAGCAGGUAUAAUACUUUCGUGAAGCUGUUGAUUGUAAUCUGUUUGACACAAAUACCUGUGGUUAUCUAUAUAGAGUUAUCGAGACAGGAUUAUUUAGCUUAACCAGAGAACUGAUUGUUUUAAGUCACUGAACGAAAAUUAAGUGUUAUGACAUGUUGUUGGACCGUGGAUUUUUAUGCAUUUAUAGGAAAUUUAAAGGUCAAGAUUGUUCAGAAUACAUAUAAUAUAAAAAAUAUGAAGUGUAUCCUAUAAUACCUUACAGGGCAAAAUAUAUAAAAUUCAACGUGGCAGCCAACGUGUUAAUCUGUGAAAAUGCAGAACCGAGGAGAGGGAAGCGUGUCUAUCUUGAAGCUCGAAGAAUGAUCCACGAUCAGGCUAGUCGUGAAGAUGCUUUCGAAUCCCGUAGCGAGCGUCGUUUGUUACACGGUGGAUGGGUAUCAAUUACGCGAAUACCGGCGAUUGAUUGUGCAUUGGCACCGUUCGAACGUGACGGAGAUGCACAAAGCGCUGGAGGGACGAUGUUAUACCCGAGGGCAUCGAUCGACGAUGAUUCAGAAACGUUCCCAUGCUAUCUAAAUUCUAAAUAGAAUCUCAGUAGAAUCGAUGCCGAGGCGUCGGCUGCCAGUCGGAUUCACAGAGACGUUCGAUGAUGAAAUCCAGCUUUGGUUUAUUAAUCUCUGUUUAGACCAAGUGUUGGAUCCAUACGAUGAACUGUUACCUGUGAUAUCUUCUUCGCUGCAAUUAAUGAGAUCGUUUCUUCUUCGGUGCUUCACUUUGUCCUACCUUUUUCUUUGCUUUAAAAUACUUUCUACGAAUACGUGUUCGUAAUGAGUUAGUACAGAGAGAGUUAAGGCCCAAGAUAUUGAAAUUCGUCCGUAAUAUUAUACAUAACGAAGCAUGUAUUAGUUUCGAUAGUUCCAAGCGCAGUAAGGAAUACAAAAAUCUUGAUGUCGUUAAUAAUUGAAGAUUCUGUCUGGGGAAUUUUGAUAUACUCGUUAAUGAAAAUUUCCAAGUUCAAUGUAUGCAUAUAAUAAAAGAACAAGCAAGAUAAUAAUGCGAAAUAGUACAACGAUUGACACAGAAUGAUGGAGAAAAUAUCAGCAAUUUUGAAGAUAGCGAUAAUUAUGAUACAAUAAGUAAUAAUUUUAGGUACUUUGAAUGAAAUAUAUAUGCAUGAACCAGCUAAACUUCAUAAGAUACAGAUGAUGAUAUGUACCUGUAUUAGAUGGUUGAAUAAUUCAAUGCUUUCUGUACGGGAAAUGAGAAUAUUUAAAUAAUUCGUCGAUUAUGGAUGAUUAGAAUGUAACAACUAUAAACACUGAUUACGAUUUAUUAUACAAGCUUUUCGAGUUUCUCGUUGUCUCGAGACGAUCGAACGAUACCCAUUAAAGUAGGAAUUUACAUAGGAUCUGCAGCUGAUCGUUGACGGAACUGUGAGCUCUCGAGGGAAGAACUAAGUGUUGCGUGAUUGUUUCACGAGAAAGAAAAACGUGAGAGAGCAAUUCGUUGAAUGCUAGUUAAUUUAACGGUGAUUAGAGUUAUAGUGCCGGCAAAUGAAACAUGUUGCGGUGUACCUUUACGGCUGGUUUAUU